rnacentral:piRNA from 1 species
UGUCUUUAUAGUUAUUUUCCCUGGAAAGG